GGGGGUAUAGCUCAGUGGUACAGCAUUCAACUGCUAAUCGAGAGAUCUUCGGUUCAACCCCGAGUGUCCUCU